rnacentral:misc_RNA from 1 species
AAAUCGCGAUAUGUAGUGUGAUCUGCCUAUAGUGAAUCAUCAAAUUUUUGAACGCAUCUUGCACCUCUGGGUAUUCCUGGAGGUACGCCUGUUUCAGUAUCAUUUUAACUUCUUUUCCCUAUAAUGGGGGCAAGAAGAUAUUACCAUUGGCCCUAGAGACCGUUCCCAGCUUCGGCCGGCGACGACUUCACGGCUUAAAUAUACUGGGUCCCACCAUUAACUUGUUUUUUGGUUCGGCUUGAAUACCCUUUGGUAGACUUUCUACUAUAAGCUAUAUCAUACCGGGCAAAAAAUGGGGACCAUAGCCCACAAACCCUUUGAUCUGAAAUCAGGCGGGAUUACCCGCUGAACUUAA